rnacentral:pre_miRNA from 1 species
UUUAAGCGCAACUAUAAAUUUUCGUGUCAAAUUUUGAUUGUCUUUAUUAUUUUAAUUUUGUUAUGAUUAGUAUUUUUAUGGUUAUUAUAUGAUAAAAUAUGAAUAAUACUUUAUACGUGACUUAUGUUUUUUUUAAAAAAAAAUAAAAGUUUUUCAAAUAAAACAGACAUUUAAAAUAAGACGAAUGGAGUAUGGCAUCGCAUCUC